rnacentral:rRNA from 1 species
GACGAACGCUGGCGGCGUGCUUAACACUUGCAAGUCGAACGGAAAGGCCCUGCUUUUGUGGGGUGCUCGAGUGGCGAACGGGUGAGUAACACGUGAGUAACCUGCCCUUGACUUUGGGAUAACUUCAGGAAACUGGGGCUAAUACCGGAUAGGAGCUCCUGCUGCAUGGUGGGGGUUGGAAAGUUUCGGCGGUUGGGGAUGGACUCGCGGCUUAUCAGCUUGUUGGUGGGGUAGUGGCUUACCAAGGCUUUGACGGGUAGCCGGCCUGAGAGGGUGACCGGCCACAUUGGGACUGAGAUACGGCCCAGACUCCUACGGGAGGCAGCAGUGGGGAAUAUUGCACAAUGGGCGGAAGCCUGAUGCAGCAACGCCGCGUGCGGGAUGACGGCCUUCGGGUUGUAAACCGCUUUCGCCUGUGACGAAGCGUGAGUGUCGGUAAUGGGUAAAGAAGCACCGGCUAACUACGUGCCAGCAGCCGCGGUGAUACGUAGGGUGCGAGCGUUGUCCGGAUUUAUUGGGCGUAAAGGGCUCGUAGGUGGUUGAUCGCGUCGGAAGUGUAAUCUUGGGGCUUAACCCUGAGCGUGCUUUCGAUACGGGUUGACUUGAGGAAGGUAGGGGAGAAUGGAAUUCCUGGUGGAGCGGUGGAAUGCGCAGAUAUCAGGAGGAACACCAGUGGCGAAGGCGGUUCUCUGGGCCUUUCCUGACGCUGAGGAGCGAAAGCGUGGGGAGCGAACAGGCUUAGAUACCCUGGUAGUCCACGCUGUAAACGGUGGGUACUAGGUGUGGGGUCCAUUCCACGGGUUCCGUGCCGUAGCUAACGCUUUAAGUACCCCGCCUGGGGAGUACGGCCGCAAGGCUAAAACUCAAAGGAAUUGACGGGGCCCCGCACAAGCGGCGGAGCAUGCGGAUUAAUUCGAUGCAACGCGUAGAACCUUACCUGGGUUUGACAUGGAUCGGGAGUGCUCAGAGAUGGGUGUGCCUCUUUUGGGGUCGGUUCACAGGUGGUGCAUGGCUGUCGUCAGCUCGUGUCGUGAGAUGUUGGGUUAAGUCCCGCAACGAGCGCAACCCUUGUUCACUGUUGCCAGCACGUUAUGGUGGGGACUCAGUGGAGACCGCCGGGGUCAACUCGGAGGAAGGUGGGGAUGACGUCAAGUCAUCAUGCCCCUUAUGUCCAGGGCUUCACGCAUGCUACAAUGGCUGGUACAGAGAGUGGCGAGCCUGUGAGGGUGAGCGAAUCUCGGAAAGCCGGUCUCAGUUCGGAUUGGGGUCUGCAACUCGACCUCAUGAAGUCGGAGUCGCUAGUAAUCGCAGAUCAGCAACGCUGCGGUGAAUACGUUCCCGGGGCU